rnacentral:rRNA from 1 species
UACGGAAGGGGCAAGCGUUGUUCGGAAUCAUUGGGCGUAAAGGGCGCGUAGGUGGUUCUGUAUGUCUACCGUGAAAGCGUACGGCUCAACCGUAUUUUGUCGGUGGAAACUGCAGGACUUGAGGCUGGGAGGGGCUGGUGGAAUUCCCUGUGUAGCGGUGAAAUGCGUAGAGAUGGGGGAGAACACUCGUGGCGAAGGCGGCCAGCUAGACCAGUUCUGACACUGAGGCACGAAGGCCAGGGGAGCAAACGGG